AGUGAACGCUGGCGGUAGGCCUAACACAUGCAAGUCGAACGGCAGCACAGUAAGAGCUUGCUCUUACGGGUGGCGAGUGGCGGACGGGUGAGGAAUACAUCGGAAUCUACUUUUUCGUGGGGGAUAACGUAGGGAAACUUACGCUAAUACCGCAUACGACCUACGGGUGAAAGCAGGGGAUCUUCGGACCUUGCGCGAUUGAAUGAGCCGAUGUCGGAUUAACUAGUUGGCGGGGUAAAGGCCCACCAAGGCGACGAUCCGUAGCUGGUCUGAGAGGAUGAUCAGCCACACUGGAACUGAGACACGGUCCAGACUCCUACGGGAGGCAGCAGUGAGGAAUAUUGGACAAUGGGCGCAAGCCUGAUCCAGCCAUACCGCGUGGGUGAAGAAGGCCUUCGGGUUGUAAAGCCCUUUUGUUGGGAAAGAAAAGCAGCAGGUUAAUACCCCGCUGUUCUGACGGUACCCAAAGAAUAAGCACCGGCUAACUUCGUG
rnacentral:rRNA from 1 species